CGCGGCCUAUCAGCUUGUUGGCGGGGUAACGGCCCACCAAGGCAUCGACGGGUAGCUGGUCUGAGAGGACGAUCAGCCACACUGGGACUGAGACACGGCCCAGACUCCUACGGGAGGCAGCAGUGGGGAAUCUUGCGCAAUGGGCGAAAGCCUGACGCAGCAACGCCGCGUGGGGGACGAAGGCUCUCGGGUUGUAAACCCCUUUCAGGAGGGACGAAAUUGACGGUACCUCCAGAAGAAGCCCCGGCCAACUACGUGCCAGCAGCCGCGGUAACACGUAGGGGGCGAGCGUUGUCCGGAUUUAUUGGGCGUAAAGAGCUCGUAGGUGGCUCGGUAAGUCGGGUGUGAAAUUUCGAGGCUCAACCUCGAGACGCCACCUGAUACUGCUGUGGCUAGAGUCCGGUAGGGGAGCGUGGAAUUCCUGGUGUAGCGGUGAAAUGCGCAGAUAUCAGGAGGAACACCAGCGGCGAAGGCGGCGCUCUGGGCCGGUACUGACACUGAGGAGCGAAAGCGUGGGGAUCAAACAGGAUUAGAUACCCUGGUAGUCCACGCCGUAAACGUUGGGCACUAGGUGUGGGGUUCUAUCAACGGACUCCGUGCCGAAGCUAACGCAUUAAGUGCCCCGCCUGGGGAGUACGGA
rnacentral:rRNA from 1 species